rnacentral:rRNA from 1 species
GACGAACGCUGGCGGCGUGCUUAACACAUGCAAGUCGAACGGAAAGGCCUCUUUCGGGGGGUACUCGAGUGGCGAACGGGUGAGUAACACAUGAGUAACCUGCCCUUGACUUUGGGAUAACUUCAGGAAACUGGGGCUAAUACCGGAUAGGAGCUCCUGCUGCAUGGUGGGGGUUGGAAAGUUUCGGCGGUUGGGGAUGGACUCGCGGCUUAUCAGCUUGUUGGUGGGGUAGUGGCUUACCAAGGCUUUGACGGGUAGCCGGCCUGAGAGGGUGACCGGCCACAUUGGGACUGAGAUACGGCCCAGACUCCUACGGGAGGCAGCAGUGGGGAAUAUUGCACAAUGGGUGGAAGCCUGAUGCAGCAACGCCGUGUGCGGGAUGACGGCCUUCGGGUUGUAAACCGCUUUCGCUCAUGACGAAGCUUUGUGUGACGGUAGUGGGUAAAGAAGCACCGGCUAACUACGUG